AUCCCAGUUCGGAUCGCAGGCUGCAACCCGCCUGCGUGAAGUUGGAAUCGCUAGUAAUCGCGGAUCAGCAUGCCGCGGUGAAUACGUUCCCGGGCCUUGUACACACCGCCCGUCACACCAUGAGAGUCGGGAACACCCGAAGUCCGUAGCCUAACUGCAAAGGGGGCGCGGCCGAAGGUGGGUUCGAUAAUUGGGGUGAAGUCGUAACAAGGUAGC
rnacentral:rRNA from 1 species